rnacentral:rRNA from 1 species
GCUACGGGUGGCAGCAGUGGGGAAUAUUGCGCAAUGGGGGCAACCCUGACGCAGCAACGCCGCGUGAUUGAAGACGGCCUUCGGGUUGUAAAGAUCUUUAAUCGGGGACGAAUUUUGACGGUACCCGAAGAAUAAGCUCCGGCUAACUACGUGCCAGCAGCCGCGGUAAUACGGAGGAUGCGAGCGUUAUCCGGAUUUAUUGGGUUUAAAGGGUGCGCAGGCGGAGGCACAAGUCAGCGGUAAAAUCGCGGGGCUCAACCCCGCUCCGCCGUUGAAACUGUGUCCCUUGAGUGCGCGAAGGGUAGGCGGAAUGCGUGGUGUAGCGGUGAAAUGCAUAGAUAUCACGCAGAACUCCGAUCGCGAAGGCAGCCUACCGGCGCGCAACUGACGCUCAUGCACGAAAGCGUGGGUAUCGAACAGGAUUAGAUACCCGUGUAGUC